UAGAUCUUGUCAGACAACCGACAAAUACUUGUUUUAUUUUUGAAAUUCUUCACUGGCAUAAAACUGAUGAUUUUAAUGCCGGUUGUACAGCCACACUACUGAGUCAACCAUACUUCAGUCAUUUGGGCCUAUGCUGCUUGAAUUUUACCGAUUGGGCACUAUGCGAACAUGUUAAAUGAUCGAUUCUCAGACGUUUAGAAGACAGAAGUUUCAACCUUGAACUUGUCUCCUUGGGCAUGUAUUAUGAACAAAUUUCUGCAGUUAUAGCUUAUUUAUUUUCAGUAAGUCAAUUUGCAGGUAGUCAUUGGGCAAUCACUAAAUGGAACUCAUAUGCUGGAUUAAGAGCACAAACAGCUGGAGCUCCACAGAAUCACUGGUUUGGACCAUCUGGAGACCCAAGAGUUGCAGGAAUUGGGACACCAAAAGCAAUAAAAGUUGUUUGGUCUUGCCAUAGAGAAAUCAUAUACGAUGUUGGUCCAGUCUCGAGUCACUGGGAGAUACCAUUGUCUACUUGAUGAUGCACAUUGAUUAGUAGAGAAGAGAAAAAAAGGUUUUAUAUUAAUAAAUUACAUUUCAUAGAAGCCAACAGAAGUAGUGUUCAUUACCUCAUUCUCUUUGUUGGUUUCAUCCAAAGAGAACAAUUAUAUCUCAUUCGUUUUCUGUCUGAAUAACAAGUUUACCAUUUUUUUGUCUA